rnacentral:lncRNA from 1 species
CAAACAUCUCCCACCAUUCUCCAGGAAGUAUUGUUUUUCUACUUUCCUUUGCGUCAUCCAUUGCAAAGGCUCCUCUACCAAAAUGAUACUCAACAAGUUGCACAUUAAUUAUCCUUCUUUCAGCAGCAUCCUUAACCAAUCUUCUCAUGGAUGUAUACAAGCCUUCUUUCACCUCAGGAUCAUCAGAUCUAAACUCAGGUUCAUAAUGGAAUUGGGGAUUGAGAUAGUAUGCAGCUGCAUGCAGAGGCC